AUGAUGAUUGAAGAUUGGGGUUUGAUUGGAAGUGUCGCUUCAUCUUAUCAACAAAUGUCUUCUUUUCUCUUUCAUCUGUCUGAACCGUUCUUUAUUAGGCAUCGCUCCACCACACAGGAGGCGGCAGAGUCCCACCUUUCUUUACAUUUCUUCACUUGUUUUCAUUGUCUUAUCCUUCUAAGUUUAUUUCCACAAUUUUCUUCCCCAAAUUUUAACUUUAUCUCAUCAAGUCUACUCACCUCCGAAAACCUAAAAAGGCUAAAAAUUAAAUCCACUGCUUCUCGCGCCCAAUUGAUUCUUAGGACCUUGGGUAAUUGA